rnacentral:rRNA from 1 species
UGAUCCAGAGUACCACGGGACACGUGAAACCCUGUGGGAAGCAGGAGGGACCAUCCUCCAAGGCUAAAUACUACUUAGUGACCGAUAGCGCAUAGUACCGUGAGGGAAAGGUGAAAAGAACCCCGGGAGGGGAGUGAAAUAGAACCUGAAACCCUGUGCUUACAAGCUGUGGGAGCACUUUAUAUGUGUGACCGCGUACUUUUUGUAGAACGGGCCAACGAGUUACGACAGUAAGCAAGGUUAAGUACUUAAGGUAUGGAGCCGUAGUGAAAGCGAGUCUUAAAUGGGCGUUAAGUUUUCUGUCGUAGACCCGAAACCGGGCGACCUACCCAUGAGCAGGAUGAAGCGAAAGUAAAAUUUCGUGGAGGUCCGAACCCACGAGCGUUGAAAAGCUCGGGGAUGACUUGUGGGUAGCGGUGAAAUUCCAAUCGAGCCCGGAGAUAGCUGGUUCUCCCCGAAAUAGCUUUAGGGCUAGCCUCAAGGUUGAGAAAUACGGAGGUAGAGCACUGAAUAUCCUAGGGGGCAUUGCGCUUACCGAAGAUUAUCAAACUCCGAAUGCCGUUAUUUUAUACUUGGGAGUCAGACUGUGGGUAAUAAGAUUCAUAGUCGAGAGGGCAACAGCCCAGAUCGUCAGCUAAGGUCCCUAAAUGUAAGUUAAGUGGUAAAGGAUGUGGGAUUGCAUAGACAACCAGGAUGUUGGCUUAGAAGCAGCCACUCAUUUAAAGAGUGCGUAAUAGCUCACUGGUCGAGUGAUCCUGCGCCGAAGAUUACCGGGGCUAAAACUUACUACCGAAGCUACGAUAUCAUUUAUGAUAGGUAGGGGAGCUUCCUAUGCAGGCUGAAGCAUGACCGUAAGGACAUGUGGACAGUAUAGGAGUGAGAAUGUUGGCAUGAGUAGCGAGACGUGGGUGAGAAUCCCACGGGCCGUAAACCCAAGGUUUCCAGGGGAAGGUUCGUCCGCCCUGGGUUAGUCGGGACCUAAGCCGAGGCCGAAAGGCGUAGGUGAUGGACAACAGGUUGAGAUUCCUGUACCACCGAUAAUCGCUUGAGAGAAGGAAUGACACAGUAGGAUAAGCUAACCACACUGUUGGUUAUGUGUGGCUAAGUACUGAGGCAGUCAAGGUAGGCAAAUCCGCCUUGAUAAUGCUGGGGUACGAUGGGGAGCGAAAUUAAGUAGCGAAGUAGCUGAUUUCACACUGUCGAGAAAAGUUUCUAUCGAGAUUAAAGGUGCCCGUACCGCAAACCGACACAGGUGGGUGAGGAGAGUAUCCUAAGGCCAGCGAGAGAACUGUUGUUAAGGAACUCGGCAAAAUGACCCCGUAACUUAGGGAG